rnacentral:rRNA from 1 species
AGGGAAAGUUGAAAUAGAACUUUGCAGAGAGAGUUAACAGGGCGUGAAACCGUUAAUUGGCAAACGAAUCGGAGCCACGAAGUCGUUUCGCUGGUCAAUCCAAGUUCAGUUUGGGAUAGCAAUAUCUCGGGCGUAUUCUUGUUGGUUGGCCAUUGUAAGCGUACACUGCAACCAGUUAGACAAUUGGCGAUGGGCCAAGUUGGGUAGAAGCCUCGGUGACUACUUAACGAAGUGCUUGUUUGCUCUAACUAGUAGUGAUAUUGUGUUUCUUCGGGAACAUGGUGUUGCUGGGUUAGAGUAAGUGAACUAUCACCAAAUACUGACUGGCACAAUGAAACUUGCUCUUAUGAGCGUGAUACACAAUGCGGCUACUCGUGUCUAAUGUCUACACAGUCAACCGUAGGGUUUAAGUUCGGCAUUUUAGAAUUUGGGCUUGCUUUCUACCAGUGGGGCAACUCCUGGUGUUGGUAUUGUCACCAUCUAAUCGGGUGUCGACUUGAUU